rnacentral:rRNA from 1 species
UGGGAACCUUCCCUAUGGUUCGGAAUAGCUCAGGGAAACUUGGGGUAAUACCGAAUAAGCCCUUCGGGGGAAAGAUUUAUCGCCAUUGGAUGGGCCCGCGUCGGAUUAGCUAGUUGGUGGGGUAACGGCCCACCAAGGCGACGAUCCGUAGCUGGUCUGAGAGGAUGAUCAGCCACACUGGGACUGAGACACGGCCCAGACUCCUACGGGAGGCAG